rnacentral:rRNA from 1 species
GACGAACGCUGGCGGCGUGCUUAACACAUGCAAGUCGAACGGAAAGGCCCUGCUUGCAGGGUACUCGAGUGGCGAACGGGUGAGUAACACGUGGGUGAUCUGCCCCGCACUUCGGGAUAAGCCUGGGAAACUGGGUCUAAUACCGGAUAGGAGCCAUUUUUAGUGUGAUGGUUGGAAAGUUUUUUCGGUGUAGGAUGAGCUCGCGGCCUAUCAGCUUGUUGGCGGGGUAAUGGCCUACCAAGGCGGCGACGGGUAGCCGGCCUGAGAGGGUGGACGGCCACAUUGGGACUGAGAUACGGCCCAGACUCCUACGGGAGGCAGCAGUGGGGAAUAUUGCACAAUGGGCGCAAGCCUGAUGCAGAGACGCCGCGUGGGGGAUGACGGCCUUCGGGUUGUAAACUCCUUUCGCUAGGGACGAAGCUUUUUGUGACGGUACCUAGAUAAGAAGCACCGGCUAACUACGUG